UACGGAGGAUGCGAGCGUUAUCCGGAUUUAUUGGGUUUAAAGGGUGCGCAGGCGGCACGGCAAGCCGGCGGUCAAAUCGCGGGGCUCAACCCCGCCCAGCCGUCGGAACUGCCGGGCUAGAGUGGGCGAGAAGUGCGCGGAAUGCGUGGUGUAGCGGUGAAAUGCAUAGAUAUCACGCAGAACUCCGAUUGCGAAGGCAGCGCACCGGCGCCCUACUGACGCUCAGGCACGAAAGCGUGGGUAUUGAACAGG
rnacentral:rRNA from 1 species